CUUUUGGGACUCCAGCUUCAUAAAGUAGGAGGUGAAAUCGAAAGUACAGUUUACAAAGCUGUGAAAAAGUUGGAUAUUGAAAAGAUUCCUGCAGAAAGAAUGAGUUGCAUUGCAGAAAGAAUUUACUUAUGAAGAGUAUCAGAGGAGUGGAACWCCUUUGUUAGUCAGAUGAACAACUGGUUGAAACCUUAUAUGACAAUUAAGUAUUUAAUUAAUAGUAAUAUUAGCAUAUCAGUAUCAUUCACUAUCUUGAUACAUUUGGUUAGUUUAAAGGUUUUUAUUCCUUCCUGAAUCUUUACUGCAGAAAGCUGUAUUUUCUCCAUAUGUUAGUCCUGUGAAAUUAUAUGUAUGCCUACUAACUAAAUAUAUUCUAAGGAAAAUUCCUGUCUCUGUGUAGGAGUUAACAAAAUUACAGUUUUCAAGCUUAUAUUUUCU